GAUGAACGCUGGCGGCGUGCCUAAUACAUGCAAGUCGAGCGAACAGACGAGGAGCUUGCUCCUCUGACGUUAGCGGCGGACGGGUGAGUAACACGUGGAUAACCUACCUAUAAGACUGGGAUAACUUCGGGAAACCGGAGCUAAUACCGGAUAAUAUAUUGAACCGCAUGGUUCAAUAGUGAAAGACGGUUUUGCUGUCACUUAUAGAUGGAUCCGCGCCGCAUUAGCUAGUUGGUAAGGUAACGGCUUACCAAGGCAACGAUGCGUAGCCGACCUGAGAGGGUGAUAGGCCACACUGGAGCGGAGACGCGGUCCAGACUCCUACGGGAGGCAGCAGUAGGGAAUCUGCCGCAAUGGGCGAAAGCCUGACGGAGCAACGCCGCGUGAGUGAUGAAGGUCUUCGGAUCGUAAAACUCUGUUAUUAGGGAAGAACAAAUGUGUAAGUAACUAUGCACGUCUUGACGGUACCUAAUCAGAAAGCCACGGCUAACUACGUG
rnacentral:rRNA from 1 species